GAUGAACGCUGGCGGCGUGCCUAAUACAUGCAAGUCGAGCGAACAGAUGAGGAGCUUGCUCCUCUGACGUUAGCGGCGGACGGGUGAGUAACACGUGGAUAACCUACCUAUAAGACUGGGAUAACUUCGGGAAACCGGAGCUAAUACCGGAUAAUAUAUUGAACCGCAUGGUUCAAUAGUGAAAGACGGUUUUGCUGUCACUUAUAGAUGGAUCCGCGCCGCAUUAGCUAGUUGGUAAGGUAACGGCUUACCAAGGCAACGAUGCGUAGCCGACCUGAGAGGGGGAUCGGCCACACUGGAACUGAGACACGGUCCAGACUCCUACGGGAGGCAGCAGUAGGGAAUCGUCCGCAAUGGGCGAAAGCCUGACGGAGCAACGCCGCGUCAGUGAUGAAGGUCUUCGGAUCGUAAAACUCUGUUAUUAGGGAAGAACAAAUGUGUAAGUAACUAUGCACGUCUUGACGGUACCCAAUCAGAAAGCCACGGCUAACUACGUG
rnacentral:rRNA from 1 species